rnacentral:rRNA from 1 species
CCUACGGGUGGCAGCAGUGGGGAAUAUUGCGCAAUGGGCGAAAGCCUGACGCAGCGACGCCGCGUGAGGGAUGAAGGUCUUCGGAUCGUAAACCUCUGUCAGCAGGGAAGAACGGUCACUGUGCUAAUCAGCCGUGAAUUGACGGUACCUGCAAAGGAAGCACCGGCUAACUCCGUGCCAGCAGCCGCGGUAAUACGGAGGGUGCGAGCGUUAUUCGGAAUUACUGGGCGUAAAGCGCGCGUAGGCGGUAUGUCAAGUCAAGGGUGAAAGCCCCGGGCUCAACGGGGGAACUGCCUUGGAAACUGGGAAACUUGAGUGUGUGAGAGGAGAGUGGAAUUCCAGGUGUAGGAGUGAAAUGCGUAGAUAUAUGGAGGAACAUCAGUGGCGAAGGCGACUAUCUGGCACAUAACUGACGCUGAGGAGCGAAAGCGUGGGGAGCAAACAGGAUUAGAUACCCUAGUAGUC